rnacentral:misc_RNA from 1 species
GUUGAAUCAUAUGGGUCAUGCUGUUCAUGUUAGUAGAGCUAGUACAGGGGAGAUAAUAUAUUGGAAUCGAUCUGCUGAAAGACUUUAUGGUUAUAAGGAGCAUGAAGUACUUGGACAGAUGACCACUGAGUUCCUUAUAUGUGAAGAGUAUCAUCAACUGGUAAGGAUUGCCAGGGAAAGAUUGCGCUAUGGACAAUCAUGGUCCGGUCUGUUUCCUUGUAAGAAGAGGCAUGGUCAGAUAUUUAUGGCAAUGUUGACAAAGAGCCCAUUGUACGAGAAUGGAGAGCUUUUU